rnacentral:rRNA from 1 species
GACGAACGCUGGCGGCGCGCUUAACACAUGCAAGUCGAGCGAAGCGGCGGACGGGUGAGUAACACGUGAGUAACCUGCCUUAGACAUUGGGAUAGCCUCGGGAAACCGGGAUUAAUACCAAAUGGUCUAAGAUGGACUCGCGUCCUAUCAGCUUGUUGGUGGGGUAGUGGCCUACCAAGGCGACGACGGGUAGCCGGCCUGAGAGGGCGACCGGCCACAUUGGGACUGAGAUACGGCCCAAACUCUACGGGAGGCAGCAGUGGGGAAUAUUGCACAAUGGGGGAAACCCUGAUGCAGCAACGCCGCGUGCGGGAUGACGGCCUUCGGGUUGUAAACCGCUUUCAGCCAUGACGCGGUAGUGGCAGAAGAAGCACCGGCUAACUACGUGCCAGCAGCCGCGGUAAUAC